rnacentral:rRNA from 1 species
AUUGAACGCUGGCGGCAUGCUUUACACAUGCAAGUCGAACGGCAGCGGGGAGGAGCUUGCUUCUCUGCCGGCGAGUGGCGAACGGGUGAGUAAUACAUCGGAACGUGUCGAGAAGAGGGGGAUAACCACCCGAAAGGGUGGCUAAUACCGCAUAAAUUCUGAGGAAGAAAGCUGGGGACCUAGGAAUAGGCCUAGCGCUUUUUGAGCGGCCGAUGUCGGAUUAGCUAGUUGGUGAGGUAAAGGCUCACCAAGGCGAAGAUCUGUAGCGGGUCUGAGAGGAUGAUCCGCCACACUGGGACUGAGACACGGCCCAGACUCCUACGGGAGGCAGCAGUGGGGAAUUUUGGACAAUGGGGGCAACCCUGAUCCAGCCAUGCCGCGUGUAUGAAGAAGGCCUUAGGGUUGUAAAGUACUUUUGUUAGGGAAGAAAGGUCAGCUGUGAAUAAUGGCUGAUACUGACGGUACCUAAAGAAUAAGCACCGGCUAACUACGUG